UGGGGAAUUUUGCACAAUGGGGGAAACCCUGAUGCAGCGACGCCGCGUGAUUUAGAAGGCCUUCGGGUUGUAAAAAUCUUUUCUAUGGGAAGAAAAUGACAGUACCAUAGGAAUAAGGACCGGCUAAUUACGUGCCAGCAGCCGCGGUAAUACGUAAGGUCCGAGCGUUGUCCGGAAUCAUUGGGCGUAAAGGGUACGUAGGCGGGUAAGCAAGUUAGAAGUGAAAUCCUAUAGCUCAACUAUAGUAAGCUUUUAAAACUGCUCAUCUUGAGGUAUGGAAGGGAAAGUGGAAUUCCUAGUGUAGCGGUGAAAUGAGCAGAUAUUAGGAGGAAUACCGGUGGCGAAGGAGACUUUCUGGCCAUAACCUGACGCUGAGGUACGAAGGCGUGGGUAGCAAACAGG
rnacentral:rRNA from 1 species